UGGCCUCCCGCCUCCGGGCGGGUCGGCGCCCGCCGGAGGAUAACCAAACUCUGAUUUAACGACGUUUCUUCUGAGUGGUACAAGCAAAUAAUCAAAACUUUUAACAACGGAUCUCUUGGUUCUGGCAUCGAUGAAGAACGCAGCGAAAUGCGAUAAGUAAUGUGAAUUGCAGAAUUCAGUGAAUCAUCGAAUCUUUGAACGCACAUUGCGCCCGCCAGCAUUCUGGCGGGCAUGCCUGUUCGAGCGUCAUUUCAACCCUCAAGCUCUGCUUGGUGUUGGGGCCCUACAGCUGAUGUAGGCCCUCAAAGGUAGUGGCGGACCCUCCCGGAGCCUCCUUUGCGUAGUAACUUUACGUCUCGCACUGGGAUCCGGAGGGACUCUUGCCGUAAAACCCCCAAUUUUCCAAAGGUUGACCUCGGAUCAGGUAGGAAUACCCGCUGAACUUAAGCAUAUCAAUAAGCGGAGGAA
rnacentral:rRNA from 1 species